GAACUGUUGUUAAGGAACUCGGCAAAAUGACCCCGUAACUUAGGGAUAAGGGGUGCCACCAUCAGGUGGCCGCAGAGAAUAGGCCCAAGCGACUGUUUACCAAAAACAUAGGUUUCUGCUAAGUCGCAAGACGAUGUAUAGGAGCUGACGCCUGCCCGGUGCUGGAAGGUUAAGGGGAUCUGUUAGAGCAAUCGAAGCAGUGAACUUAAGCCCCAGUAAACGGCGGCCGUAACUAUAACGGUCCUAAGGUAGCGAAAUUCCUUGUCGGGUAAGUUCCGACCCGCACGAAAGGCGUAACGAUUUGGGCACUGUCUCAACAACAGACUCGGUGAAAUUGUAAUUCCGGUGAAGAUGCCGGAUACCUGCGACAGGACGGAAAGACCCCAUGGAGCUUUACUGUAGCUUGACAUUGGGUCUUGGUACUACAUGUACAGGAUAGGUGGGAGGCUUUGAAACCAGGACGCCAGUUUUGGCGGAGCCAUCCUUGGGAUACCACCCUUGUAGUACUGGGACUCUAACCAUAGGCCAUGAAUCUGGUCUUGGGACACUGUCAGGUGGGCAGUUUGACUGGGGCGGUCGCCUCCCAAAAGGUAACGGAGGCGCUCAAAGGUUCUCUCAGUACGGUCGGAAAUCGUACGUAGAGUGUAAAGGCAAAAGAGAGCUUGAUUGCAAGACAUACAGGUCGAGCAAGGAUGAAAAUCGGACUUAGUGAUCCGGUGGUUCUGCGUGGAAGGGCCAUCGCUCAACGGAUAAAAGCUACCCUGGGGAUAACAGGCUUAUCUCCCCCAAGAGUCCACAUCGACGGGGAGGUUUGGCACCUCGAUGUCGGCUCAUCACAUCCUGGGGCUGUAGUAGGUCCCAAGGGUUGGGCUGUUCGCCCAUUAAAGUGGUACGCGAGCUGGGUUCAGAACGUCGUGAGACAGUUCGGUCCCUAUCCGUCGCAGGCGUAGGAAAUUUGAGAAGACCUGUCCUUAGUACGAGAGGACCGGGAUGGACGUACCUCUGGUGUACCAGUUGUCCUGCCAAGGGCAUGGCUGGGUAGCUAUGUACGGAAUGGAUAAGCGCUGAAAGCAUCUAAGCGCGAAGCCAACUUCAAGAUAAGAUUUCCCACCGCAAGGGUAAGACCCCAGAAAGACUAUCUGGUUGAUAGGUCGAAGGUGUAAGUGCAGCAAUGUAUUUAGCUUAUCGAUACUAAUAG
rnacentral:rRNA from 1 species